ACGCUCGACACCUACGAGAGGCAGCAGUGGGGAAUAUUGCACAAUGGGGGAAACCCUGAUGCAGCAACGCCGCGUGAAGGAAGACGGUUUUCGGAUUGUAAACUUCUGUUCUUAGUGAAGAUAGUGACGGUAGCUAAGGAGCAAGCCACGGCUAACUACGUGCCUGCAGCCGCGGUAAUCUGAGCGGGCUGGCAAGGC
rnacentral:rRNA from 1 species